UACGAAGGGGGCGAGCGUUGUCCGGAAUUAUUGGGCGUAAAGAGCUCGUAGGCGGUUUGUCGCGUCUGCUGUGAAAACUCGGGGCUUAACCCCGGGCCUGCAGUGGGUACGGGCAGACUAGAGUGCGGUAGGGGAGACUGGAAUUCCUGGUGUAGCGGUGAAAUGCGCAGAUAUCAGGAGGAACACCGGUGGCGAAGGCAGGUCGUCUGGGCCGUAACUGACGCUGAGGAGCGAAAGCGUGGGGAGCGAACAGG
rnacentral:rRNA from 1 species